AUGAACGCUGGCGGCGUGCCUAAUACCUGCAAGUCGAGCGGACGGACGAGAAGCUUGCUUUUCUGAUGUUAGCGGCGGACGGGUGAGUAACACGUGGAUAACCUACCUAUAAGACUGGGAUAACUUCGGGAAACCGGAGCUAAUACCGGAUAAUAUUUUGAACCGCAUGGUUCAAAAGUGAAAGACGGCCUUGCUGUCACUUAUAAAUGGAUCCGCGCUGCAUUAGCUAGUUGGUAAGGUGACGGCUUACCAAGGCAACGAUGCAUAGCCGACCUGAGAGGGUGAUCGGCCACACUGGAACUGAGACACGGCCCAGACUCCUACGGGAGGCAGCAGUAGGGAAUCUUCCGCAAUGGGCGAAAGCCUGACGGAGCAACGCCGCGUGAGUGAUGAAGGUCUUCGGAUCGUAAAACUCUGUUAUUAGGGAAGAACAUAUGUGUAAGUAACUGUGCACAUCUUGACGGUACCUAAGCAGAAAGCCACGGCUAACUACGUG
rnacentral:rRNA from 1 species